UUGUUACUCCUUCCGUUCGAAAAUACUUGUUGAAAAAAUAGAUGCAUUUAGACGUAUUUUAGUUUUAAAUACAUCUAUUUUUAUUUAUUUCUGCGACAAGUAAUUUCGAACAGAGGAAGUACAAA
rfam:Triticum aestivum genome assembly, contig: Triticum_aestivum_CS42_TGACv1_scaffold_223416_3B